rnacentral:rRNA from 1 species
GGUCUGACCUGCCCACUGAAAUUUUUAAAUGGCCGCAGUAUUCUAACUGKGCAAAGGUAGCAUAAUCAUUAGUCUUUUAAUUGAAGGCUGGUAUGAACGGUUGGACGAGGUAUAAGCUGUUUCAUAUAAAUUUAUAGUAGAAUUUUAUAUUUUAGUCAAAAAGCUAAAAUAUUAUUAAAAGACGAGAAGACCCUAUAAAUCUUUAUAUUUUUUAUUAUUUAAGUUUUUUGGGUUGAUUUUAUUUUUAUAGUAAAAAAUAUUUUGUUGGGGUGAUGUUAAAAUUUAAUGAACUUUUAAUAAUUUAAAAUCAUUAAUUUAUGAUUUAUUGAUCCAUUAUUAGUGAUUAUAAGAUUAAGUUACUUUAGGGAUAACAGCGUAAUUUUUUUGGAGAGUUCAUAUCGAUAAAAAAGUUUGCGACCUCGAUGUUGGAUUAAGAUAUAAUUUKAGGUGUAGCCGCUUAAAU